UCUUCCUCCUCCUCUUCCUCUUCCUCCUCCUCUUCCUCCUCCUCCUCCUCUUUUUCCUCCUCUUCCUCCUCCUCCUCCUCCUUCUUCAUCUUUCUCUGUAAAGUCUAGUUUGUGUUGCCUAGCUUGUCUUGGGAUUAGAAUCUGCACUAGUAUGUAGUCACAUACUAGGGGUCCAUUAGUGGUAGGAUUUUGUGCCUGCCUUUCUAUCUUUGUUCUGGGAUUUUUGUCUAGCUGGAACUUGGGCAGACUGUCACAAGUGCUGUGAGUUAAUAUG
rnacentral:miRNA from 14 species